CGGCGCACGGGUGAGUAAUAUAUAGGUAACCUGCCUUUUGGUUUGGAAUAACCCCGCGAAAGCGGGGCUAAUACCGGAUAAUGCAGCGGCUCCACAUGGAGAUGUUGUUAAAGCUUCGGCGCCAAAAGAUUGGCCUGUAUCCCAUUAGAUAGUUGGCGAGGUAACGGCUCACCAAGUCUGCGAUGGGUAGCUGAUCUGAGAGGAUGAUCAGCCACACUGGAACUGAGACACGGUCCAGACUCCUACGGGAGGCAGCAGUGAGGAAUAUUGCGCAAUGGAGGAAACUCUGACGCAGCGACGCCGCGUGAAGGAUGAAUGCCCUCUGGGUUGUAAACUUCUGUAGAGAGAGAAGAACGUCCCGUUUCACGGGAUUGACGGUACCUCUAAAGUAAGGAUCGGCUAACUACGUGCCAGCAGCCGCGGUAAUACGUAGGAUCCGAGCGUUGUCCGGAAUCACUGGGUGUAAAGGGAGCGCAGGCGGGUUUAUAAGUCGAUGGUGAAAUCUUGCAGCUUAACUGCAAAACUGCCGUUGAUACUGUAAAUCUUGAGUGUGGAAGAGGGCGAUGGAAUUCAUGGUGUAGCGGUGAAAUGCGUAGAUAUCAUGAAGAACACCGGUCGCGAAGGCGGUCGCCUGGUCCAUUACUGACGCUCAUGCUCGAAAGCGUGGGGAUCAAACAGGAUUAGAUACCCUGGUAGUCCACGCCUUAAACGAUGAAUACUUGGUGUCGGGCCGCAAGGUUCGGUGCCAAAGCUAACGCAUUAAGUAUUCCACCUGGGAAGUACGAUCGCAAGGUUGAAACUCAAGGAAUUGACGGGGCCCGCACAAGCAGUGGAGCAUGUGGUUUAAUUCG
rnacentral:rRNA from 1 species